AAAUAAGAAACAAAUUAUUGUAUUUAGUUUCGACCUAAAAAUUUGGUGAGCCCACCACCCUUAUUUA
rnacentral:tRNA from 1 species